GGAAUAAUAGCUCAGUGGUAGAGUGUGUGCUUAGCAUGCAUUAGAUCCUAGGUUCAAUCUCCAGUACUUCCA
rnacentral:tRNA from 1 species